AGAGUUUGAUCCUGGCUCAGAUUGAACGCUGGCGGCAGGCCUAACACAUGCAAGUCGAACGGUAACAGGAAGAAGCUUGCUUCUUUGCUGACGAGUGGCGGACGGGUGAGUAAUGUCUGGGAAACUGCCUGAUGGAGGGGGAUAACUACUGGAAACGGUAGCUAAUACCGCAUAACGUCGCAAGACCAAAGAGGGGGACCUUCGGGCCUCUUGCCAUCGGAUGUGCCCAGAUGGGAUUAGCUAGUAGGUGGGGUAACGGCUCACCUAGGCGACGAUCCCUAGCUGGUCUGAGAGGAUGACCAGCCACACUGGAACUGAGACACGGUCCAGACUCCUACGGGAGGCAGCAGUGGGGAAUAUUGCACAAUGGGCGCAAGCCUGAUGCAGCCAUGCCGCGUGUAUGAAGAAGGCCUUCGGGUUGUAAAGUACUUUCAGCGGGGAGGAAGGGAGUAAAGUUAAUACCUUUGCUCAUUGACGUUACCCGCAGAAGAAGCACCGGCUAACUCCGUGCCAGCAGCCGCGGUAAUACGGAGGGUGCAAGCGUUAAUCGGAAUUACUGGGCGUAAAGCGCACGCAGGCGGUUUGUUAAGUCAGAUGUGAAAUCCCCGGGCUCAACCUGGGAACUGCAUCUGAUACUGGCAAGCUUGAGUCUCGUAGAGGGGGGUAGAAUUCCAGGUGUAGCGGUGAAAUGCGUAGAGAUCUGGAGGAAUACCGGUGGCGAAGGCGGCCCCCUGGACGAAGACUGACGCUCAGGUGCGAAAGCGUGGGGAGCAAACAGGAUUAGAUACCCUGGUAGUCCACGCCGUAAACGAUGUCGACUUGGAGGUGGUGCCCUUGAGGCGUGGCUUCCGGAGCUAACGCGUUAAGUCGACCGCCUGGGGAGUACGGCCGCAAGGUUAAAACUCAAAUGAAUUGACGGGGGCCCGCACAAGCGGUGGAGCAUGUGGUUUAAUUCGAUGCAACGCGAAGAACCUUACCUGGUCUUGACAUCCACGGAAGUUUUCAGAGAUGAGAAUGUGCCUUCGGGAACCGUGAGACAGGUGCUGCAUGGCUGUCGUCAGCUCGUGUUGUGAAAUGUUGGGUUAAGUCCCGCAACGAGCGCAACCCUUAUCCUUUGUUGCCAGCGGUCCGGCCGGGAACUCAAAGGAGACUGCCAGUGAUAAACUGGAGGAAGGUGGGGAUGACGUCAAGUCAUCAUAGCCCUUACGACCAGGGCUACACACGUGCUACAAUGGCGCAUACAAAGAGAAGCGACCUCGCGAGAGCAAGCGGACCUCAUAAAGUGCGUCGUAGUCCGGAUUGGAGUCUGCAACUCGACUCCAUGAAGUCGGAAUCGCUAGUAAUCGUGGAUCAGAAUGCCACGGUGAAUACGUUCCCGGGCCUUGCACACAAAGCCCGUCA
rnacentral:rRNA from 1 species